AUUGAACGCUGGCGGCAUGCCUUACACAUGCAAGUCGAACGGCAGCACGGGAGCAAUCCUGGUGGCGAGUGGCGAACGGGUGAGUAAUAUAUCGGAACGUGCCCAGUCGUGGGGGAUAACGUAGCGAAAGCUACGCUAAUACCGCAUACGAUCUACGGAUGAAAGCGGGGGAUCGCAAGACCUCGCGCGAUUGGAGCGGCCGAUAUCAGAUUAGCUAGUUGGUGGGGUAAAGGCCCACCAAGGCGACGAUCUGUAGCUGGUCUGAGAGGACGACCAGCCAAACGGGAACUGAGACACGGUCCAGACUCCUACGGGAGGAAGCAGUGGGGAAUUUUGGACAAUGGGCGCAAGCCUGAUCCAGCAAUGCCGCGUGCAGGAUGAAGGCCUUCGGGUUGUAAACUGCUUUUGUACGGAACGAAACGGCGAGCUCUAAUAAAGUUUGCUAAUGACGGUACCGUAAGAAUAAGCACCGGCUAACUACGUGCCAGCCGCCGCGGUAACAC
rnacentral:rRNA from 1 species